ACAUAUAUAAUAUUUAUGCUUUGCUUCCCUCAGCUUUGAAUAAAGUUUUUGCAUAAUAGGUUUGUGCAACUAUUUAAGUGAUGAAAAUUUGACAGGAUUUGCUCCUGUGGCUCUAAAAAUGUGUAUAUAAUUCUUAAAACCAAUAUCCAAAUCUUAAUACACUUGGCAUUAUAAAAUUCGGUCUAUCAAGUAUCCAAAACAAUGAAAUUGGAAAACAGGAAGACAUAGAAAAAUGGCUGAAGAACACUAUGGCUUACUAGUAAAAGCAAAACUAAUCUCUCUGUAAGUUAUUACAGCACUGAAAGCUUAAUUUUGAUGAGUGACUACAAAAUGCUUUUUGUCCCAUAAUCCUGUCUUAUAUGGUGCUGUGGAAGAGCAAUUGUUUGAAUAGUUAUUCGUCCACGAUACUCAAUAUUCAUGAGAAAUACGUAUGUUUUUAGUUGUUCUGGUUUUGUUUGUUUAAUAAACAGGGAUUGUAAAUCCUGAAAUAAUAAUAAAAAAAAGGAUUUGCUUUUGCAUAAGCAAAUGACAGGUUGAAAGGAAAACACAGUUGUCACCCACAGCUUUUUCAGAGCUUGCAGAAAUACCAGUAAUUCUAUAUGCAAAAGAUAUGGUGAAAAUAUUUCUUUUUGUUUUAAUAAAGACUUCAUUUUCAGUAAUUAAGGAAACAAAGUGAAGUGAAGAAGAAAAAAAAUAUCAAACUGCAUGGAAGACAUCUAAAUCACAGGGAGGUAAGCUAAAGUGGAAACUUAGUGCAGAUUAAUUGUUCUAUGUGUAUGUACUUUCCUAAGUUUAUGGACCAGGAAGACUGGAGCAAAAAAAAUAAUUCUUCAAAAUAUGGAGCUAUAGAAGCAAAGGAUUAAGUCCAUAAAGUUCAGAGAAAGUAGAUUAGCAUUUUUGGGUCACGUGGUUCCCAGUUAUAAUAUUUGAACUUCUUUUACUAAAAAAUGGCAAGUUCUGACUCUUGCAACAGAGAAUCAUAGAAGUAUAUUGAGUGAGAUGUUUGAUUUAGAGGACAAAUAUGUCCUCUUUCCACAUUUUCUGCAUUAAAUAUUUCUGACCUCACAAUCAGAAGUGAGGUGAAAUUUAGAUUAUUCACUUAGAAGCUGUUGAUUUUUAUGGUUAUUAAGCCUAAAUUGAGUAUGAAAAGAAAACAGCUUUAUUGCAACAAAUCAAUUUUUGAGCCCAAGUGGUCUUGCAAUUGUAAGUAAAAAAUUAAAAUGAUUGUCCUUCUCUGGCUGAAAAUGCCAGAGCUAAGAAGGUGUACAGUUUGGGAGAAAAAUGUGUUUUCUUUUGCUAUAGAUCUGAUCAUGUCAAACACUAUGUGCUAUUUAGAGCUUCGCUGAGAAUGAGAUAAAUAAUUGGCAACUGAUGGUUUAACUUUCAAAGUCUUUAUUGGUACCUAGCUCCCACCAAUAUCUCCCACUAAUUUUCACUUUCUGUUAGAGUUAUACUUCCAAGUAUGGACUUUACAAAAAGUACCUUGUUGUGAAUAUUUGAGAACCUUGUCUCUGACCUGCUUAUAGUAUUAAGUCUGAGAUCCAUAAAGAAGCUAAGUCUCUUUUCUCUGAAAUAAAAUCCCUCUCUUCCCUUUUAGCUUUCUCCCUCUGUCCUUCUGGGCAGACUUGAUCUUCCCUGCUACCACAGAAAGAAAAAAGAAAUGAAUCCUUUGACCACCUGUUUCUUAAAUGGAGCCUUCUUCCAUUCUUACAUGGUUGGAAAUUUAAGAGAAGUGCCAAAAGUAUCAUAUGUGAAGAAAAAUAAGUUACGUAGGACAAGAUUUUAUUAGUCCUGAAAGAUGCAGAUAAUACUGAUCAUAAAGCUAAAGAAAAGCUUUCAGUGGAUCUUGAGUACACAGGACACAAUUUGACAUCACUGUUGAGAAGGAGAAAAACAUGGAAACAUAAAAGUUCAAGUCUAUUUUGGCAAAGUAAGUUAGACUUAGCACAGUUUUUACUUAUAGAUAUUAUUUAAAAUCAGUUCUUUAUUUUUUGUUCGUUGUUUUAAAUCAGAAUUUUAGAUAGCUUUUAUAAAAUACAUAAUUAAAUUUUGAAGGUACUAAUUUUUCAUUUGUAAUUUCCUCUUAUUUUUAUUGUGUUGCUGAAUACAUAAAUGGGAUGAUUCUCAUGUUAUUGACUGAGGGAAUUCAAGCUAUAUACACUUGUUAAUAUUUUAAAACAGAUCUCUGCAGAACUCACUUGUAUUGAAAUUUAUGACAGACUGGAGGUGGCUUUAUUUCCCUCUGCAUUCAUCCAUGUAGCAGUAACAAAUGUCCUGACUGAAUAAAUGAAUCACAGUAAUGUAAUUUCUGUAGUUUUAUCUUUAAUUAUGCAAUCUGUAGUGAGCCAAGGACUGAACUGCAGAAAUACAUCUUGUUAUGUGAGACAAACUCCUCUGUCACAUGGCCAGUAUUCACCUGGAAGGUGUACAUGCCAAAACCUGAAGGCACAACAUUGUAGUAUAUGUAUUACAAAUAAAAAAUACCACAUGGAAGAGAAGGAGCAACAAUGACAUCAAAAUGUGUUUACUUGCUCUAUAUUCUGCUCUCCUCCUUUAGAGAUCACAUUGCUUAAACCUAAAAUAAUUGACGUAAGCAUCUGUGCUUUUUUUAUAGCUGCUUUGCUCACUGUUUCAUAAUUUUAAGACUCCCAAAAUUCUGGUGAGAUCUUUCUGGCAGGCCAGCAGAUGUGGUCAUCACUUAACUGAAUAUUCAACCCUGCUUCAGGGAGUGAAGUCCAGCAUAUUUUUUCAGGAAGUGUAGGAAGGGGACAGCAUGACGAAGGAUGAAAUUACAGUGUUCAAAUAAUACAAAACUUUUCCUGAGAACGACUCAUCUUGAUUCUUUAUGUUUCUUUGUUUUUUUUUUUCUUUUUUUUUAAAUAAAAUAACUGAGGGACUUCAAGCUGCUGCUCAUUUUUAAAGGUAGCAUCGUAAUUUCAGCUAAUUUGCUGAAAUUAGCUCUGUUGGUUAGAAUAUGAUGUUAAUAACUUAUGCUAAUAACCCAGGCUUGUGGGUUUGAUCCCUGUAGAGGGACUCAAUGAUCCUUGUGGGUCCCUUCCAAUUCAGAAUAGUCUGUGACAUAUAACAAAAUAAGAUUUGCCCCAACAGUUUUGUGGCCAUUUUAUAUCCCAGACUUAACCAUUUUGAAUAAAAUUUAAUUAGUUACCCAGCAGUCUCAUACAGAUGUGGCACUCAUGGGCAGUCUAGGAGCAUUGAUUUGGUGUUCUUCUAGCUGAUUUUAGUAGUUUUUCAGUGUUAAUUAGAAAAGAAAGAGUUUUGUUUUAAAAGAUAAUAUAUCUAAUAACACAUGUACUUCAGAUAUAAGAUUUGAAGUUUUAAGGGAGGGUAAAGCAGAGAGGAUACUCGCAUUACAAAGAAUAAAGAACAAGUAACUCUUAUCUGUUGCUAGCACGUUGCUUUCACUAACACAUUCUGUAAAUACCUUCGUUCAUGUUUGGACCUGACACACAUCUUUUGCUUAAUUUUUGGCAUUUUCAGUCUCUUCUCUACUCCUCCUGCAGUGAAAAUUCAUGUCUAAAUUUUAUGAGAUGUCAGACUUCCUCUAACAGUGUGAAAAAACAGCUCGAAGGCUCUAAAUAAAAGGUUUUAGGCCAUGAUUGACACAGUAUAGUAGGUCAUAUGCUCCCUUGACAAGCAGUAAAUUCUGAGCUAUACUACAAAAUACAGGUGUUUCUAAGGAAGAUUCUGACCGGAUAAUUUGCGAGCAUCAGCCCAUAUAUCAAGUGUAGCAGAAUGUAAAUGGUUUGUGAAGAACCUUUCUCUGCUGGAUGUGCCCAGGAAAAAGAGGAUGCUGUGUGUGUGACAAUUAAUUAUAUCUAACUGAUGGAAAUGGGGAUUACAGAUUACACUGAUGAAAAGCACAACCAUCAGUCAGACAGACUUUGACAGGACCUUCCAAUCAAAAUUUCGUUUCCUGGCCCCGGUGGAUUAAUUUACAGACACGCACACAUGCACAAAGUUUGAAGCCCUAUUGGUGAACCAAUUACAUCUUCACCAAGAAACUUGACAAAAAAAAAAAAAAUCCUCUUGGAAAUGACUGUUUCAUAACUGUAAGCAGCGUAUGAGGUGAUGGAAAUGUGUUUGCACAAGACACGUUGUAACAUAGUAUCAGAAGACUUUCAUUGACAAUUAUGAUUUUUUUCAACCCUGAUAUUGUAUUAAAAAAAUAUUUUGAUACCAUGAAGAUGUGGUAGUUUGUAUUUUCCCAGCUAUUCCAUAGCAGUUAAUGGUGGAUAGACAUUGUCUGCUGGUUAAAAUUUUGAACUACCUGUAGUGCAUGCAAACUGUUUCUCUGUAUCCUGCUUUUCUGUGACAUACAUUUUUGGCUUUCUUUUGCUAUUUGGCAUAAAUACAGCUAUUUGCAUGAAAAGAGAGGAUUGCAGAAGGGGUGGACUUAGAGAUCCACCUACUCUUGCUGUUUACUCUUUGCAUAAAGUCAUAAUCCCUGACGAAGUAAUCAGCAUUUCUGCAGUAGCAAAUCAUUAAAGCUGCACAAAGGAAGUCGCAAUUCAGGGAUUCUUAUCUGAAAGGAUUCUGAAAGCUGUUACCUGGUGGCUGACUUCAACAGGACCUGAAGACAGCCAGCAUGUCUCACUAUCAGAACUGCCUUCCUUGAAGACAACCAGUAAAAUUGCCAUUGUUUUCAAUGAAGCAGAAUUAUACCUUCAAUGAGAAAAAGGAAAUGAAUAUUGAAGAAACAAAGACACUUCUUUCAUGCAAAUUGCUUUACUAAUAAAUAAAAAGGAGGAAUUAGAACCAGGAAAUACAGGAGAUAAAGAGAAACUGUUGUCUGAAUUAAUGCCUUUCAAAUUUUCCAAUGAGGCAUUUAGCAUUUAGUAGCAAUGUUCAUUAUACUUUGAUAAUUAUUUAGAGCUUUCUUCCUCACAAACUGGUUGUAGUGAAAGACUGUAUCAUGGUUCACUAGUUAGGGAUUCUUUUACACCAUUAUACAAAAAAUGAAUAAAGAGUGGUUUUUCUAGGAAUAGGGCUGGGAACCUGUGAAAUGAAGCAGCUCAAUUAGAGAAAACCUGAAGUUAAUGGGAGUGUUUUCUGUAGAAUAUGUAUAUUUUAAAUUAGUGUAUUCUAAAAGAAUAAUCCAAGUUUAAUUCAAACUGAAAAAGCAGCACCACCACUCCACCUCCUCCAAGGCAAUACUGUAAAGUCUUUCCUUGCUGUCUGUCUGCCCACCACAAUAUCGGCAAAAAGGAAACUCAAGUAAAUUGGAUGGUGUAUAUCCACUGGAUGUUGUAAAAACCAAUGCUAAUGAACUGUUACUGUGUGGUAACGGUAAUGGUACUUGUCUUUCCUUCAAUUUCUCUCACCACAGCUUUUUUUAAGUUACUCAAAGUUUGUAAUUUGUAGGAAAACCUGAGAUUGUAACAUUUUGGAACACCAAGUUCUGCCUCCACUGAGUUAAUUUUUUACAUUGUACUCAACUUCUGCAUGUAUUUAGUCAAUAUGUUGCACUAAUAAGGUGAAACAAACACAAGCAAAUAAUACUGAUCAAACCGUAUAUAUUUUAAUUACUGACAAAGUAAAAAAUGGUGUAUAUAUAAAGUUCAGUGUUUAGUGCCCAGCAGGAGAUUUUGGAGAAUGGUACUUAUUGAGACAGAUUGAUUUUUUUUCUAUACUUUUAUAAGGAUGUACUAUUUAAAACUAGAAGUCAAGUCAAGGGGAAAAAAAGAUUUAAUUGUGUAAUAUUCUUUUAAAAAUCAGAAUAUGCAAAGAAAUAUUUUAUUCCCUUUCUUUUUCUUUCCUGUCACUAAUUUGUUCAGAGCAUUUAUUAAAGUCUACCUAUUUUGUUUCAACUUGACCCAGUCAAAGCAGUUUGAAGACAUUUACAAUGAUGAAGAGGGAGCUUCAAUUAACCUUCUUGGCUGAGAUAUUUGAUAUGCAUGAGUUACUAUAUAACAACUUAAUUAUCUAAUACUCUUUGUAAAAGAUUUCUAAUAAAGAAUGGAAUUGAUUUAUAUAUUA